rnacentral:misc_RNA from 1 species
AGUUGAGUUGAGUUGAGUUUUAUAACAGGGAAAAUUUUUCAGUUUUUUUAGAUGCUUCUCUUUUGCAAUUUUCUGUUCUGCAUAGUGUUUUGUAAAAUAUGUAUUUCAUGCUAUAACCGUGAGUGUAAACUGUAAAUCUGAAGCUUCUUUACUAUGGGGUAAAUAAGAUCUCGGCGUUUACAUGUGGCAACUAAAUCAGGAGCUGAUUUGCUUCGUGAAUGGUGUAAUUCAUAUGAUAUUUCAGUAUCAUCUUCAAUUUGGCCUGCUUGUAAAUUUUAUAGAGAUCUGAAUUGGAAAUAGGAAAUUUGGUAUAUGCACUAGCAUCUAGAGAUUAAUUGCUGGAUUGCAUAAAUUUGGUUCUAUGUAUUUCAUGCUGUUACCAUGAUUGAGAACUGCAAAUCAGAAGCUUCUUCACUAUGGGGUAAUGAAAAAAGAUAAAGCAUCUAUUUGUGAAAACUAAACCAGGGGCAGCUAAUUGUUUUGGUUAAAGACAAUUCUCUUGAGUCAUGAUGGUUCAAUGUCCUCUUGAAUUUGGUGUACCGAACUUUGGAGAUAAAUUAGAAUAUGAACUAGAAAUUAGAGUUUAAUUGUUGGGUUACAUACACUUGGUUUUAUGGUCAGAAGUGCUUUUUGAAGAGAACUUAAUUUUGUUUUUCCCAGAAAUAUGUUUUCUUUAGUUGGUUAAGAUGAGUAAGAAGG